rnacentral:rRNA from 1 species
GUUGUAUGGUUAAGAGACAAAGCGUACAAGGUGGAUGCCUUGGCAAUCAGAGGCGAAGAAGGACGUGCUAAUCUGCGAAAAGCUCGGAUGAGUCGAUAAGAGGCGUUUAAUCCGAGAUAUCCGAAUGGGGAAACCCGGUGGGUGAAGAACCCACUAUCAUUAUCUGAAUCCAUAGGGUAAUGAGGCGAACCGGGGGAACUGAAACAUCUAAGUACCCCGAGGAAAAGAAAUCAACCGAGAUUUUGUGAGUAGCGGCGAGCGAAAGCGAAAGAGCCUGUUAGUGAUAGCGACAGAGACAGAGGAAUGUGCUGGGAAGCACAGCGAGACAGGGUGAUAGCCCCGUACUCGAAGUCUGGGUCGUGGUACUAAGCUAACGAGAAGUAGGGCGGGACACGUGAUAUCCUGUUUGAAGAAGGGGGGCCCAUCCUCCAAGGCUAAAUACUCCUGAUUGACCGAUAGUGAAGCAGUACUGUGAAGGAAAGGCGAAAAGAACCGGGGUGACCGGAGUGAAAUAGAACCUGAAACCUUGUACGUACAAGCAGUGGGAGCCUGAAAGGGUGACUGCGUACCUUUUGUAUAAUGGGUCAGCGAGUUAUAUUUUGUAGCGAGGUUAACCGGAUAGGGGAGCCGAAGGGAAACCGAGUCUUAACUGGGCGCUUAGUUGCAAGGUAUAGACCCGAAACCCGGUGAUCUAGCCAUGGGCAGGUUGAAGGUUGGGUAACACUAACUGGAGGACCGAACCGACUAAUGUUGAAAAAUUAGCGGAUGACUUGUGGCUGGGGGUGAAAGGCCAAUCAAACCGGGAGAUAGCUGGUUCUCCCCGAAAUCUAUUUAGGUAGAGCCAUGAGCGGACACCUUUGGGGGUAGAGCACUGUUUCGGCUAGGGGGCCAUCCCGGCUUACCAACCCGAUGCAAACUACGAAUACCGAAGAGUGAUACUCAGGAGACACACGGCGGGUGCUAACGUCCGUCGUGGAGAGGGAAACAACC